AUACGGAGGGUGCAAGCGUUACUCGGAAUCACUGGGCGUAAAGCGCGCGCAGGCGGCCUGAUAAGUUGGAUGUGAAAGCCUACGGCUCAACCGUAGAACUGCAUCCAGAACUGUCAGGCUAGAGUGUGGGAGAGGAAGAUGGAAUUAGUUGUGUAGGGGUAAAAUCCGUAGAGAUAACUAGGAAUACCAAAAGCGAAGGCAAUCUUCUGGAACACUACUGACGCUGAGGCGCGAAGGCGUGGGGAGCAAACAGGAUUAGAAACCCGGGUAGUCC
rnacentral:rRNA from 1 species